ACAGGCUAUGCUGGAAAAGUGUGGGGAAGAAACUCAGCUGUCCUUCAGCAGUUAGAGAGCCAGGAGCAGGCCAGAGACUAGAGGUGGACUGGGGGUGUCAACGGGAGAGGCUGAAGGUAAAGCAGCCUUGUGGAUCGUGACAGAGUAGGGCUAUUUGGAAAGAUGGAGCCUUAACUGAGAAAAUGCCGACAGUAGACUGGCCUGUAGGUCAAGCAGCUAUAGGAUGAUGAUAUGCUGCACAGAUGUCAAGAGAGUGUGGCACACUGGCCAAGACGGCGUAGAUCCAGCUCCCAACAGGCAUGCCGGACACACCCAACAUUUCUGCAGAUUUUCCUCCCAGGGUGCUGGAGUCUUGACUCCUGGUUGCUCAUGCCCCAGUCUGUGAUCACCUCUGAAGCUAUCCAUGCCCAAGGCAAGCUCAGCCUCCUUAUAGGCUGGCUACUGAUGGGUUGUUAGCCAGAAGAGCCACUCUGAGAUCAGGCAGCUACACAGAUGCAUUAGUUCCCUUCACGGCAACAAAGUGCUGUUACUUCACUGUAAUCAUGGACCACGCACCAUCUCUGCACAGCACAGAGGCACACGGCUCUGGGCAGCCUCUUUGGAGGCAGGAUUUCUGUCACUUCAGAAGCUCAGGAAAGGGGCUGGGGAGAUGGCUCAGUGAGUAAAGUGUUUGCUGUGCAAACAUGAAGACCUGAAUUUGCAUGCCAGACGUGAGUAGAAAGUUCUGGUGUUCCCAGCUUGGUGUUGGGCAUGGCGGAGCAUGUGAAGCAGAGACAGGAGGACCUCUAGGGUUUGGUGGAAAGCUGGCUGAGCCAGGGAGAGACCCUGCCUCCUAAAACAAAGCAGAGGAUAAUAGAGGAAGACACCCAGCAUUAAGUUUUGGCCUCCACUGUCAUCUAUACCAAUGAACAUGUACACAUGCCUACAAAACACACACACAACAACUGAGAGAUACAGUUUGCCGAAGUCUCUAGAGAGAAGUUGUGGUGGUUUUAGUGAGAAUGGCCCUCACAGGCUCCUUUGAAUGCAUAGGGUAUGGCAGUGGGAGAGGAGGCCUUGUCACAGUAGGCGUGGCUUUGUUGGAAGUCUCUAGCGGUGGAAUUUGAGGUUUCUAAUGUUCUUUCUCUCUUCCUGCUGCCUGCUGAGAUGUAGCAUUCUCAGCCUCCCCUCCAGCACCAUGUCUGCCACUGUGCUUCAAUAAUGGACAAUAAUGGACUAAAGCUCUGAAGGCAAGCAAAGCCCCAAAUAAAUGCUUGCUUUUGUAAGGGUUGCCAUCACUUCAGUCAUUCCUUAGCUCUGGGACUGCUUGCCACCUACUGGCUCAAGACACCUUAACAGACAGCUCCUUCAGGAUGGCGUAGAGGACAGCCAGACUCCGUCUGUCCUCUCUAAUUCUGUGGGUGAAUUCUCAGAACCGAGGUGGUCUCAGGGCAGACAGCAUCCACAGUCGGCCUGCAGCCAUUUGGGGAGGUAAGGGACAAGGUCGCCAUGGAGAGCCAGCAAACAUACUGUGGCAGGCUUAAGCCAUUGGCUAAUCACUGUCUUGCUAAGGAGGCAAACCUGAAGUAAACCAUAUUUAGGCCUCUUGCUGUGGGAAGGAAUAAAUGCU